rnacentral:rRNA from 1 species
AUUCCAGCUCCAAUAGCGUAUAUUAAAGUUGUUGCAGUUAAAAAGCUCGUAGUUGAACUUCAGGUCUGGCUGGGCGGUCCGCCCUUGGCGUGUACUGUCUGGCUGGGCCUUACCUCUUGGUGAGCCGGCAUGCCCUUCACUGGGUGUGUCGGGGAACCAGGACUUUUACCCUGAGAAAAUUAGAGUGUUCAAAGCAGGCCUAUGCCUGAAUAUGUUAGCAUGGAAUAAUAGAAUAGGACGUGCGGUUCUAUUUUGUUGGUUUUUAGAAUCGCCGUAAUGAUUAAUAGGGAUAGUUGGGGGCAUUAGUAUUCAGUUGCUAGAGGUGAAAUUCUUGGAUUUACUGAAGACUAACUUCUGCGAAAGCAUUUGCCAAGGAUGUUUUCAUUG